CAUAAAAGCAGUCUAAAACAUGAUAUAGCAAUACCAAGUAGCGAAUAAUGACAAACAAGUGCAGAAGUACAACCCAACACAGCCCUAACCGGGGUAUCACAAGUCACGAGCAUCUACUGGGGUAUAAAUACAACUGAAGGCGUGAAGUUUACAAAUACGGACUAAUGAAAUGAAGAGAGAGAAGAGCAAUGUUGCGAACGCCAGCAGCUACCUUGCUAAACUCCGAUGACCCUGCUUCCGAUCAGCCAAAACCCGCUACCGGGUGUAUAAAUACCUGAAUCUGCACGCAAGGUGCAUGGAGUAAAGUGAGUACUCCAACUCAGUGAGUAACAAAUAUAAAUAAAGACUGAAGGCAAGAAAUUACGUAAAGCAUAUCAAGAUGUUGUAUAGAAGCAGUCCAAAAUCAGUAAGGAAAACAGUGAGGCUGCAAAAAUCUAUUAAAAUAUCUUAGCUCAGUUUAAACAUCUUUGAAAAUGACUUUUUCAACAAUUACGCAAAUGAAUGCAAAACCGUUUGUGCAUAUAAGCACAGAAAAUCCGCCUAUCGGGCAGAAACACCAUAGCUUAACAGGUAAAAUGACAAGUAAAUAUGAAAGGUAAACACAUAAAGGUUCGCCCCUCGGGCAUAAUGUCAACAACCCCGCCCCUCGGGCAAUAUCUCAGAACAAUAACAGCCCCUCGGCCAAUCACAUAGAAUAGUACCAGCCCCUCGGGCCAUCACAUAAAACAAUACCAUCCCAUCGGGCUAUCACAUAGUACAAUAUCAGCCCCUCAGGCUAUAUCUCACAUCACAAUAGGUAUCCACGCUCAUUGGGGGUGUACAGACUCCGGGAGGGGCCCCUUACGGCCCAAACGCAAUAUCAAGCCACCUCGUGGCAUCAUAAACAAGCCCUCAUCCUUAUAUCAAUAUCAACAAGCCACCCCGUGGCAUCAUAAACAGGCCCUCGGCUUCAUAAUCAAAUCAGUAUCUCACUGCUACGGCGUGCAGCCCGACCCAAAAGUAUCCUCACGAUAUAAGCCAUUGGCCUUACUCAGUCAAAAAUCACAUAAGCUACUCGGGCAAUAGUAAAACAUGAUGCUCAGCCCAAAAUAUCAUUUAAAAACAUCCUUUAAGUCUCAAAACGGAGUAAAAAUGGCUAAGUUUUGAAAACAGUGGAAAAUAACAUGACUGAGUUCAAGUAUAAAGUCAAAACAAUGAGGAAAUAUCGACAGAAAAAAAAUUCCCCGAAGGGUCCAAAUAGCUGGCACUAGGCCCAAAUAUGGCAUUCAGCCCAAAUAAUGAUGAUAGCAAAUAGUUUUUAGUCAAAUACGCGGUAAAAUCAUCAAUCGGGACAGACCAAGUCACAAUCCCCAAUAGUACACGACCCUACGUCCGUCAUCCAACGUGUGUCUCGCCUCAAUAUAGCACAACGAUGUGCAAUCCGGGGUUUCAAACCCUUAGAGCAUCAUUUACAAUCAUUACUCACCUCGAACCGGCUAAAUCUCUAGCUCGCGACGCCUUUGCCCCUUGAAUUGGCCUUUACGCGCGUCGAAUCUAUCCAAAAUCGGAACGAGUACGUCAACAUAUGCUAAGGGAACCAAGCCCAAGCGAAAACAAUCAAUAAAAGUGCACAAAUCCCGAAAUUAGCAAAACCCGAGCUCCGGGCCCGCUUCUCGAAAAUCAAAAAAUUUUACAUCAAUAGAUUCUCCAUCUCUCUACGAGUCUAUGCAUAUCAAGAAUACCAAAAUCGGAGUUCAAAUGACCCCUCAAAUCCUCAAUUUAAGGCCUCUUAAACUUAAGCCCUAAUCCUCCAUUUUUAGCAUUUUGAUUCCUUUAAUUUCAGUCUUAAUCCAUGAAAUACUACCAUAGAAAUGUGUUUUAGGUCCAAAAUUCUUACCUUAACGAAGUUCCAUUGAAAUCUCCCUUCAAAAUCUUUCAAAAGCUCUCAAGCCGAAGUCAAAAAUGGUGAAAACCUUCAAAAAUCGCGAAGGCAAGCUUAUAUACAUUCUGCCCAGACAUUGUCUCAUCUGCGACUCACCAACCGCUUCUGCGGUACCGCAUUUGUGGUCUAGCAUCCGCUUCUGCGGAAAUCACUUAAGGGACCAGAUUCCGCAUCUGCGGUCCACGCGUCGCAUCUGCGACUCCGCAGGUGCGGUCCAUAUAUCGCAUCUACGUCCCUGACUAUUCUUCCCAAAUCCGCUUCUGCGGCUCCCCUUCCGCACGUGCGGCACCGCACAUGUGGUCCCCAAACCGUAGGUGCGAAAACACCAGAAGCAGCAAAUUUUCUGCAAUCACCCAAGUUCAAAUCUUCCCGUUAACCAUCCGAAAUCACCCCGAAACCCUCGGGACCUCAACCAAAAGCACAAAUAUAACCAAAUACCUUAUACAAACUUGUUCCAAUCAUCAAAACACUUCAAACAACAUCGAGUCUACCAAAUCACAUAGGAUUCAAACCUAAGUUUCAAAAAUCUAUUGAAAUACGUUUUUGAUCAAAAACCCAACCAAACCACGUCCGAAUGACCUGAAAUUUUACACACACAUCCCAACUGACACGACGAAGCUACUGCAACUCUCGGAAUUCCAUUCCAACCCCUAUAUCAAAAUCUCACCUAUCAACCGGAAAACGCUGAAAUCUCAAUUUCGCCAAUUCAAGCCUAAACCUUCCACGGACUUCCAAAAUGCAUUUCGAUCAUGCUACUAAGUCCCAAAUCACCUAACGGAGCUAACCAAAUCAUAAAAAUUUUGAUCCGAGAUCAUCUACAAACAAGUCAAAUCUUGGUCAAACUUUUCGAAUUACAAGCUUCAAACUGAGAACUGUUCUUCCAAAUUUCAUGUCGAUUACCCUGAAAACCAAAACCAAUGAUUUACAUAAGUCAUAAUACACCACACGGGGCAAGUCAUGCCCGAGAACUGAUGAUCAAAGUGCAAAAGCUCAAAACGACCGGUCGGGUCGUUACAUCAUCCCCACUUAAACAUACAUUCGUCCUCGAACGUGCCCAUAGUUGUUCUAAAAGCUAACCAAUCGCUGAAUAACCUCACCAUGCACAUACUCGGGGGGUGAUCCCACGUCACCCUAUCUCACAUAGGUUCGAUAACAUAAUAUAACUGAAAUUUCACAAUCCAUCCUAGUCCAUAAACCAUAGAACCACAUUUCUGCUUCUAUAUCCUCAAUACUAUCAGAAUCUCACAUUUAUACUAUGAAUAAGUCCAAACAAGCUGUAAAAAAUCAUAUCUACUAUCUCAAGUGCAAUCACAUUAUAUACCACAUAACUCAAACACUCGCAGCAAUAACUUCUAAUCACAACAGCUGCACAUAACAACCGAAUACCGAUGGAAAACCUCUUAUCAACUAAAGUCUCAUUCCCACACUUUCAUAUAUUGCCAAUGAUAAAUAAACCACACAGUAAGCCCUAACUAUUUCUCAGAUCAACCAUUCAUGAAGCCACUUCUCCUUUGGAAGAGACCAUAGCAAUUUUUCUGAGCCGGAGCUCGAUAUUAUCCUUCUAACAUGUCGAAAUCGAAUUCGUUCGUAUUCAUUAAUGAUACCAACGAUCUCAUCUAAUCCAACAUACUACUCUAGUGAUAUGACACAUCAAUACAUGCCUAAGCCACAACUUGCACAAUACGCGCAUCGAUAAGCAACAGUCCAAACAUACUCAAAUCAUGAAAAUGACUCAAAUGAAAGAGCUAUACCUCAAGCUCACCAGUACCACCACAACACAAGGCUGAGAACCCAUCUCACAUUAUAGGAACAGAACACACGAAUCUAACCCGCAAGGUCACUAUGCUCGAAAUCGACAACCACGUGCAAAUUGAUGUUUGGAACCAAAGCAAAUCAUCAUACCCACGGUAAAGCCAAUAACAUACAUCACACAACCGAAAGGACAUAACCGAUACGCCAUUCACCAAGCUACACCCAAUUACUCUCCCCGCUCGACUUCCACUAUGAAUCUUCAAUAGAAUCAUACCAUAUGUGCCUAUAACCAACAGAUUAUAACACCUCGCAACACAGAAAUGCAGCUCAUAAAUCUCCCCAGAUUACUAAUAAGCUCAAUAACAAUCGAAUCAACACAUCCCCCAACAAUACAACUCGGAGCCAACCAAGCCGACUCCAAUUAGAACACGCAUCCACAUUGGCCUGCCAACGAACUACUUAUCAAGGAAACCUGAAGCUGCUCCUUCAACUUCUUAACUCUGCCGGUGCCAUAUGAUACGGUGCCCAGCAUCAAAUCAAUACCAAAAUCAACAACCUUGCCUGGAGACAUGUCCGGCCAUAAGAAAUACAUCGGAAAAGUCCCUCACCACCGGAACUGAAUCAAUAUGAGGAGCCUCUACACUGACAUCCAUCAUGAAAGCCCAAAUAAGAAAGACAUUCCUUCUCAUCCGUCCACUGGGUCUUCGAAAUAUAAAACCACUCCAAUAGGACAUAACCCGUCGAACAUCACCACUCAAUCCGUGGCAUUUCUGACAUAGCCAACAGCGUCGCCUUAGCGCAAUAGUCCAGAAUAACACAACACGGAAACAAUCAGUCUGAACCUAAUAUCACAUCCAAAAUCUAGCAUACCAAGCAACAAAAGAUCUGCUCGGGUAUCCAAACCCCGAUAGUCACUAAACAGUGCCAAUACAUGCGACCCACAACCACAACAUAGCCUGAACACGAGAACUCCCAGUCUUCAACUCCACAUAGCACAUGAAUCACCACACCUGAUCCCAAUCAUUCCACGAGAGAUACUCUAAAAUUCUUCUGUACCACCAAGCAAACUCGAAUAUCAGCAGUCGGUUUAACAAGAAAGCGCCGCAAUACUACCGAAGCACCAUCAACUUCAUCACAUUGCCUUUUCUGAAACAUAUACCCUCGUCAAAUCACUCCAAUUAGAAAUACCAUUUCCUUAAUCAUCUGAAGAUCAUCCCCCUAAUCAUCUGAAGCUCAUUCCUCUAAUCAUCUGAAACUGCCCGUGUUGCCUAAGAAUUUUAUGACUUUCUAUUCAGAACUGAAUCGUAACCUUCCACAUGCAAAUUUCAAUCCUCCACAACAAAUUGCAUAUACCAUACCACCCUAGGAUAACAUAAGAACUUCAUCUUCCUUCCGAACCACAAACAUCUACGUACUCAACUAGUCAAGAACUUUCCAUAGGUCCCAUCCAGAAGAAAAUCACUAUACAUCAUAUGCUCCUCAUGCCCACAAAAAUAUACAUCUUUAUCCGAGGUAGAAACCAUCAAGAACUCUCCGAGUUCCCCUUGCACAAACCAAACCUGUCAGGACUGAAUCCUUCUAACUCGACCAAGUUAUGCAAGCCAUCAAUACCUAAGAGCAUUACCGCAAAAUACCUAUAGGAACUCAUUACCCUGUACACGCCCAAGGAACUAAUCAUAUCCUUACCAUACCGAUCCGGCCUACUACCAAGCUAUCCCAUCUAUCCCAGUUUCCUUCUGAUUUAUCUUCAACUUGGUAUUCCCUCUUGCUGCAGCAGCAUAACUCCUCAACCCAGACUUACCACGCGAGGCCCAAGCAUAAAAUCACACGGUCUAAGGCUCAUAAGCCACUGAAUACUCUCUUAAAUAUUCCCAAAAGCACCACAUUCAAAAUACUUUACUCUGAAGAACUUCCUGCGAAUCUAAAUCUGUUACCUUUACCUUCCUGAUACUGAUACAUAGAAUCCCAUAAUUAAUAUAGAAAACACCACAAGUCUUGAUAUCUUCCAAUGAAAACUCAGUCUCUAACCACAUAUACAACUUUAAAAUACCCUAUUAUUACAUGUAAAAUCCUGAACACAUUAGAACCAUUCCCACGAGUUAUUCACUCUACUCAAACUGCAAUUAGCCUAAUCAAACGAACCGAACAACCCGUGCCUCGUUAGCACUCUAACAUCGCAGAAUGUGACAUCAUUCCAUUACAACCAAGCAACUUCUUGCUCUAUGCACCGAGCAUCCUUUACCAACAACAACUCAAGACAUGCCGAGAUUCUCACACACUUAUGAAGCAUACUAUAACUUUUGUUAAAAAUUUUACUUUACUCGAGCCAUCCUCGGUCUCAAUCUCCGUGGGCCAUAACUGACAUAGCACCUAGUCGUGCAAUCAACUACUCAACAGCAGACUCCCCCACUUGGCUCGAAGCCAUAGAUCAAAUACACUCAAUAACGCAUAACGCUUAUACUCUAUUGAUGCCAUAAUACCAUAGUGAGGUUAAACUUAAAUCCUUUAUAAGCUUCUAAAAACACAGAUCAUCAAGAAUUUUAACUCUUCUACAAAUCUCGCAUUCACUCUCGCAACAGUUAAGCCCAUUCUCUUAAGCGACCCAAAAUUCAAAUAUCAACACUUACAUUUCACUUGUACAUGAGAUCUUCUAACAAUCACAUAAGGAUCACACAACCCCAGAACACUUCGCAAGAGAUAACCCACCGAGAUCAUCUAGAAACAAGUCAAAUCUUGGUCAAACCUUUCGAAUUACAAGCUUCAAAGUGAGAACUGUUCUUCCAAAUUUCAUGUCGAUUACCCUAAAAAUCAAAACCAACGAUUUACAUAAAUCAUAACACACCACAUGGGGCAAGUCAUGCCUGAGAACUAGCGAUCAAAGUGCAAAAGCUCCAAAUGACCGGUCGGGUCAUUAUAAUUUUAUACAUGUUAUGUAAUAGAUUUUUUCAUUCUUUUGGACAGAACAUAACAUAUUCAAUCGAGAAGCUUCCAUCUUCUUCUUCUCUUUAUUCUCUUUAAUCCUAAUUGAGUUUUCAUGGCGAUCUCGUGGAUAUUCAAGUUUAUCAAAUAAUACAUUCACCUAAACAACCCCUUAUAUCUAAAGGGUAAUGAUCAAUCGGGAAGCUUCCGUUUUCUUCUUCUCUUUAUUCUCUUUAUCCCUAACUGAGUUUUCGUGGCGAUCUCAUGGAUCUUCAAGUUUAUCAAAUAAUACAUUUACCUAAACAACCCCUGAUAUCUAAAGGGUAAUGAUCAAACUGCAACAUUAAUUGACAGACCACAUGAUUUCCAACUUAAAAUUAUUGGAACAACUAUUGUUACCAGUUGUUAUCUGUUAGGAUUAGUCCUUAUCUUUAAUACUUAUCGUUAGAUUAGAUAGAGAUUUAGAGUUCUACUUUCAGUUCAUAUUUAUCAUUUAGUUAGUUAGCUUUUGAUAGUGUUUUGAUUUGAAUAAGUAUCCUAAUUCAAGGAGUACUCUUAGGAAGACUUGUAUUUAAACUAAGCUUGACAUUCAAUAUAUAUAUACAUUUUUCCAUCAUAUCUUUGAGUGUUUAUAUGGUAUUUGAGCCUAUACAAGUCUAACGAGUACGAUCCUAAAUUAUUAUUUUUUUCACCAAAUCCUCCAAUGACGAAAGAUGGAACUACUCCCAGAGUUGUCAAUGUCGACAACACUACUGGUACUACAACCAUUGUUCAAUUCAACCCCACUUCCCAACUACCUAUCAAACUUAGUGGAAGUCACAAUUUUUUUACUUGGAAAGCUCAGUUCUCCAUGCUUAUGCACGGUCAUGACCUCUAUGUUCACCUUGAUGGGUCCACUCUGAUUCCCACUCCAAGCACCACGUUUGGUACGAACACAACCCCCAAUCCUGCUUAUACGCUUUGGUUCCGUCAGGAUCAACUCAUCCAGAAUGCUCUUAUGGCGUCUAUUGACCCGACCAUUGCCUCCAUAGUUGUUGUUGCCAGCACAUCCAAAAAUGCUGACUCCUUGCACACCGUUUAUGCAAACAAGUCCCAAACUCGGAUCUUCGGUCUUCGUGAUCAACUUGCACGAAUCACCAAAUACACCAUCCCCAUUACCAAGUACCUUCAACAUAUUCGGUCCCUUUCAGAUGAACUUGCUACUGCAGGUGCCCCGGUCACUAACUCCGAACUUAUUGUCAAAAUCCUAAUUGGACUUGGCCCUGAGUUUCGUGAGAUCUCGGCUGCCAUACGAGCACGUGACACCACAGUCACCUAUGAGGAAUUAUAUGAAAAGCUGGUUGACCAUGAGCUCUUUAUCUGUCACGAGGAAGCCAAGAAAACCAAUAGUCCUAUCACAGCAGCAGUUGCCACUCGCGACAAACUGAACAACAAUUCCAACAAUCGCAACAAUCGCCGCCAAUUUUACAACAACAAUUCUCAGCAAUGGCGACAGAACAACCGCCCCAAUACAUCUACCCAUUGCCAACCCUACAUAAUAACACAGCAUGUGUUAUUCGUUGUCAAUUAUGCAACAAGAUUGGCCAUGUUGCAAAUGUGUGCUGCUCCAAGUCACACAACCACUUUGAGGCCAAAGCCAAUUACAUCACAGGCUUUAACACUACUGCUAACUCGUGGAUAGUCGUCUCUGGUGCCACACACCACAUCACAACUGAACCUCACAACCUACAGCAGUACCACAGCAACGAGAAUGUCUCCAUGGGUGAUGGUAACAAAAUUCUCAUAUCACAUAUUGGCUCUACUCAAUUAAAUGCAUCAAAUAAUAUUUUUAAACUAACUCACACUCCAUGUGCUCCAGCUAUUAAACUCAAGCUUAUUUCUAUUUCCACAUUCUAUCAAGACAAUCUAAUGUCUGCUGAAUUUUUUUCCUUUUUCUUUUCUUGUGAAGGAUCUGAAAAUGCAGAUACAAUGGAGUAUAUGAGUGACCCACUUCACAUCCAUAAGCUCACAUAUCUACCACUGCAACUUUUUUAACCACUUGGCACCAAAGACGGGGUCAUCCGCGUUCUAGAGCUCUUACAUAUGUUCUGAAUAAAUUCUUGCUUCCGUUUGUUGAGCGGCACCCAUUUCACCAAUUAAUAUUGAAAAGCUCUAAAACUCUUCAAAUUAUUUUUAGUGAUUUAGGAUCUGUAGGAUGCCAUUUUAUCAUUAUUUGUCCUGUGGACAAAUCAUGUCCUUUUUUACGUCAUUUUAUCAUUAUUUAUUUAUCCUGUUGAAUCUCAGGUCCUUUUUGCUUUCAGAGACUACUUAGCAUUAAUUGUCAGUACAUAUCAUCAUGUUUUUAGAUCUAUUAAAGAGGGGAUAAUUCAGAUCGGGUUAAUUUGACUCCGACAAAAUAGGGUAUUAGGAGCAUUAUUUUUACCAUGCGCUAGAAAUUAUUUAUAUUUGACAGUCAAAAAAAAAUAUAAUUUUUAUAUGUAACAUACAAAAUAUAAAAAAUAUACAAAUUUUAUAUAUUUUUUCAAUUAUUAUUUUUAUCACGACUAUACAAUGUCAUUUUUUCACCAACUGAAAUCAUUUUUUUUAAUGUUUUCUCAGAAUUGCUGUAAAUAUUUUAGUUAGAUAAACAUAUUGCAAUAAAUGAGUUUUGCCUAAAUCAUUUAUAAGCAACCUCCACUUCCAACCAAGAGGAAGUGAGUUCGAGUCUCCCCAAGAGAGAAGUGGGAAGUUCUUGGAGGGAAUGAUGUCGGGGGUCUAUUUGGAAACAGCCUCUCUACCUCAAAGUAGGGGUAAGGUCUACGUACACACUACCCUCCCCAGACCCCACUAAGUGAAAUUAUACUUGGUUGUUGUUGUUUAAAUCAUUUAUAAAGAAAAAGUUGCUCUUUGCAAGUAUGUUAAGUGAAGGGUAUUUUACCCUAACAUGAAAGUAUUUUUACACCAAUUUUGUGACGUCAGGGGCAAUUACAGAUCCAAAGCAUAACAAGGGCAUAACUUAUCACUUUCACAUAGUAAAAGGGUAUUUUGGGCCCUUCUCCCUAGAUUUACAUCGAUUACACUGGCAAAGACCGAGAAAGUAGCCACUACUGAAAUUAUAAGGCGUGUAUGGAUUUGAAAACGGACUCGAUUUUGGUUUUUGAAAAUAAUGUGUUUUGCAUCUGGUUAUAGGAGAUUUGAUCAUAUAACAUUUGACUAGUCACACCUAUGACAAAUCUAGUCAUAUGAUUAACAUCAGAAUUCGUUUUUAGCGCAUUUUCGUUGAAAUUUGGCUUAUCAUUGUCAUUCAUAAUAAAUUUUACUAGCUUAUAAAUUAAAAUUAAAUUCCUCACUUUAAUAAUAGCUUGUGCAAAAUUUGUUCCACAAGACUCUGGUUUAUAGGCCAGCGAAGCUGGGGAAAAAAUUCAAAAGUGUUUUUCGCAAAAAUAUCUUGGUAAAAAGCAAUUUGUGUGUAAGUUUAUUUUCUCAAAUAUGCUUCUCCAGAAAGUAAUUUGGGAGACAAGCAACUAUUUUUUGCUUGCUUCUCCAAAACUAUUUUCAAAAGUACUUCUUCUCUUUGGCCAAACACCUAAAUUUUUGUUUCGCCAAAAGUGCUCUUAACCAAAAAAAAUGAACUUUUGGCCACAAAUAAGCUUGACCAAACAGGCUAUUAGUAUAAUAGCACUUUUAAAUUUGGUCACACUACAAUUUUCAAGUAUGAUUCUGUUUGGGUUAUUACUAGUCCGGAUUUCUUUUAUUGAAGACGUCCCUCAAAGGCCUUAGUUCAAGAGAUUGUUCAAAAAAUGUUCACUUGCAUAUCCUUGACCUAAAUUCAAGGUUCACAUGACCCUUAUGUGUAGAAUCAAUGUUCAUAGUAAUAGAAAGCAAAAGCAGUUAACUUGAAAAUAGAGAAAUGAGUUCAUAAAUUUAGCCAAGGGUUCAAGAAGCACCAAAACGGAGCAAUUUGGAGCUUCCUACGAUUCGGCAAAUGUUUAAUAUGCGAAGGUAUUGUUUUAUUGUGUUAGAGAGGUCUCGUUCUAGAGUUUCAACCCUCUCCGCUGGGACCUUCGCUUUAAAAUCACUUGUGCUAAUAAUUCUUUAAGGAGAAAACUUAUAUAUUAAGAAAAAAUGAACAUAAAAAUGUCAGAAAUCAGAUCCGAGUAAGAAGCAAUCCGAACCCGAAUGGUUCAGGUUCGGAGAUCCGGAUUCUGAAAUCGUUAUCCGAAAGCAAACUUGGCCGAAAGCGCAUUGGGUUUUUUGCGCUUCGUCCAUAGGACCUUCGAUAUACGUAUCCCAAAACUCAGCACUAAGAUUACUCUAAACAAAUAUAAAUUUUUCUGAAAAUAUAAAUAGUUUGGUGGAAGUGAAAAAAAUGGAAGAGCUGCUCAGUGAAUACGAACCAUAGAAGAUAGAAGCUCAUCUUGCGGAGAUUAUUUUGAAAAAAACAUCGCCGCAAUCCGAUUAUUUUCUUCGUUUCUCUUCAUAGCAUUUCUUCAAGCUCCAUCAAAACAUCCAAGUAAACAAAGAAAAUAAACACUAAGCUAAUGAAGUUAGAGGGCGGUACACCGCUAUUGCAGCCGGCGGCGGCCGCCAACCUAACCCUAGAGUUUGACGCUUUAAUGAUAUGAGAAGGUUAACGGGACU
rnacentral:lncRNA from 1 species